rnacentral:rRNA from 1 species
CCUACGGGAGGCAGCAGUAAGGAAUAUUGGUCAAUGGACGAAAGUCUGAACCAGCCAUGCCGCGUGAAGGAUUAAGGCCCUCUGGGUUGUAAACUUCUUUUAUCUGGGACGAAAAAAGGGUAUUCUUACUCACUUGACGGUACCAGAGGAAUAAGCACCGGCUAACUCCGUGCCAGCAGCCGCGGUAAUACGGAGGGUGCAAGCGUUAUCCGGAUUUACUGGGUUUAAAGGGUGCGUAGGUGGGCUUGUAAGUCAGUGGUGAAAUCCCCGGGCUUAACCCGGAAACUGCCAUUGAUACUAUAGGUCUUGAAUUAUCUGGAGGUAAGCGGAAUAUGUCAUGUAGCGGUGAAAUGCUUAGAUAUGACAUAGAACACCAAUUGCGAAGGCAGCUUACUACGGAUAUAUUGACACUGAGGCACGAAAGCGUGGGGAUCAAACAGGAUUAGAUACCCUGGUAGUCCACGCCCUAAACGAUGGAUACUCGACAUCAGCGAUACACUGUUGGUGUCUGAGCGAAAGCAUUAAGUAUCCCACCUGGGAAGUACGAUCGCAAGAUUGAAACUCAAAGGAAUUGACGG